rnacentral:rRNA from 1 species
UCAAGCGAAGAAAGGGUUUAUGGCGGAUGCCUUGGCGUAUCAAGGCGAAGAAGGCCGUGGCAAGCUGCGAAAAGCAACGGGGAGGAGCAAACAUCCAUUGAUCCGUUGAUAGCCGAAUGGGGUAACCCACCGGGCGUGAGCUCGGUAUCCGUUAGUGAAUAAAUAGCGAACGGAAGCGAAACUGGGGGAACUGAACCAUCUAAGUACCCCGGGAAGAGAAAUCAACAGAGAUUCCGAAAGUAGCGGCGAGCGAAAUCGGAAGAGCCCAAACCGUCCAUUAGGGCGGGGUUGAAGGACCGCGACGUCUUUGUUUACAUUGGAGCAGAAAGGCUUGGGAAAGCCUGCCUGAGAGGGUGAAAGCCCCGUAAGCGAAGCGAUGUAAAUGAGGUAGCGGUAUCCUGAGUACGGCGGGGCACGAGAAACCCUGUCGGAAGCCGGGUCGACCACGAUCCAAGGCUAAAUACUGGAUACGACCGAUAGCGCAGAAGUACCGUGAGGGAAAGGCGAAAAGAACCCCUGCGAGGGGAGUGAAAUAGAACCUGAAACCGUAAACCCACAACAUGUCAAAGCCUGAGCAAUUGGGUGAUGGCGUGCCUUUUGUAGAAUGAGCCUGCGAGUUACGAUAUAUAGCGAGGUUAAGGCUUGGAAGAGCCGGAGCCGGAGGGAAACCGAGUCUGAACAGGGCGUUGAGUUGUAUGUCGUAGACCCGAAGCCAGGUGAUCUAGUUAUGUGCAGGCUGAAGGCAGGGUAAAACCUGUUGGAGGGCCGAACCCUAAUCUGUUAAAAAAGGUAGGGAUGACAUGUGACUAGGAGCGAAAGACUAAACAAACCUGGAAAUAGCUGGUUCUCCCCGAAAUGCCUUGAGGGACAGCCUUAUCAAAAUCUUACGCAGGUAGAGCACUGGAUGGACUAGGGGGCUUCACCGCCUACCAAACCCAAUCAAACUCCGAAUGGCGUAAGACAACUGAUGGGAGUGAGACUGCGGGCGACAAGGUUCGUAGUCGAGAGGGAAAGAGCCCAGACCGUCGGCUAAGGUCCCGAAUAGUAUGCUAAGUGUUAAAUGAUGUGCCAUGGCGCAGACAGCCAGGAGGUUGGCUUAGAAGCAGCCAUUCCUUCAAAGAGUGCGUAAUAGCUCACUGGUCGAGUCAUGACGCGCAGACAAUGUAACGGGGCUAAGCAUACAACCGAAGCCGCGGAAUCGCGCAGCAAUGCGUGGUUGGUAGGGGAGCAUUCCGCAGACCGACGAAGGUAUAUUGUAAAGUAUGCUGGAGGGAGCGGAAGAGAGAAUGCAGGUAUAAGUACACGAAAAGACGGGUGAGAUUCCCGUCCGCCGAAAGCCUAAGGAUUCCUGGGUAAAGGUCAUCUGCCCAGGGUAAGUCGGCCCCUAAGACGAGGGCGAAAGCCGUAGUCGAUGGGAAACCGGUUCAAAUUCCGGUACCGUUCUUGGUUUUAAGGGAUGACGCGUGAGGUGAAACCCGGCCGGGCGACGGUUGCCCCGGUCAAAGCGGCAAGCUAUAAGUGAUGGCGGAAACAUCAUUUGGCGAGCCGUAACAGCGAGCCGAUCUAAGGAAAGGCGAAGCGGGCGUAAUCAAGGCGCCGAGAAAUAAUCCCCUCUAGUCAGGCCAGGAAGACCGUACCGCAAACCGACACAGGUAGGCGGGAUGAGAAAUCUAAGGCGCUCGAGAGAACUCGCGUUAAGGAACUCGGCAAAAUACGCACGUAACUUCGGGAGAAGUGCGGCCGUUGACAGUUUUAGUAAUAGAGUUGUUGGCGGCGACACAAAGCAGUCCCAGGCGACUGUUUAUCAAAAACACAGGCCUCUGCUAACCAGCAAUGGGAUGUAUAGGGGCUGACACCUGCCCGGUGCCGGAAGGUUAAGGGGAGCGGUUAUCCGUAAGGAGAAGCUGUGAACCGAAGCCCCGGUAAACGGCGGCCGUAACUAUAACGGUCCUAAGGUAGCGAAAUUCCUUGUCGGGUAAGUUCCGACCCGCACGAAAGGUGUAACGAUCUGGGAGCUGUCUCAACGCGAGACUCGGUGAAAUUUAAGUACCGGUAAAGAUGCCGGUUACCCGUGGUUAGACGGAAAGACCCCGUGAACCUUCACCGUAACUUAUCAUGGGGACUUGAUUAGACAUGUGUAGGAUAGGUGGGAGACUUUGAAGCAUGGGCGUUAGCUUGUGUGGAGUCAAUGGUGAAAUACCACCCUUGUUUGAUUAGGUUUCUAACCCGACCCGUGAAUCCGGGUUGGGGACAGUGAUAGGCAGGCGGUUUGACUGGGGCGGUCGCCUCCAAAAGAGUAACGGAGGUGCGCGAAGGUCUCCUCGCGCUGGUUGGAAAUCAGCGCAUGAGUGUAAAGGCACAAGGAGGCUUGACUGCGAGGCUGACAGGCCGAGCAGGUACGAAAGUAGGUCUUAGUGAUCUGGCGGCAGCGAGUGGAAGCGCCGUCACUUAACGGAUAAAAGGUACUCCGGGGAUAACAGGCUGAUCUUCCCCAAGAGUCCACAUCGACGGGAAGGUUUGGCACCUCGAUGUCGGCUCAUCGCAUCCUGGGGCUGAAGCAGGUCCCAAGGGUUUGGCUGUUCGCCAAUUAAAGCGGUACGUGAGCUGGGUUCAGAACGUCGCGAGACAGUUCGGUCCCUAUCUGCCAUGGGCGUUGGAUGGUUGAGAGGAGCUGUUUUUAGUACGAGAGGACCGAAAUGGACCGACCGCUGGUGUACCGGUUGUCCCGCCAGGGGCAAGUGCCGGGUAGCUACGUCGGGACGGGAUAACCGCUGAAGGCAUCUAAGCGGGAAGCCCUCCUCAAGAUAAACCAUCCCUGGGGGUUCAACCCCCCUAAAGGUACCAGGAAGACUACCUGGUUGAUAGGUUGGAGGUCUAAGCAUGGUAACAUGUUCAGCCGACCAAUACUAAUCUGCCGUGAGGCUUGACCAU